rnacentral:rRNA from 1 species
AGUCGAACGGCAGCAAUGAUUCUGGUCUGGUGGCGAGUAAGAACGGGUGAGUAAUGUAUCGGAACGUGCCUAGUAGCGGGGGAUAACUACGCGAAAGCGGGGCCAAUACCGCAUACGCCCUUCGGGGGAAAGCGGGGGACUCGGGCCUCGCACUAUUAGAGCGGCUGAUAUCGGGAUUAGCUAGUUGGUGGGUAACGGCUCACCAGGCGACGAUCCGUAGCUGGUUUGAGGACGACCAGCCACACUGGGACUGAGACACGGCCCAGACUCCUACGGGAGGCAGCAGGGAAUUUUGGACAAUGGGGAAACCCUGAUCCAGCCAUCCCGCGUGUGUGCGAGCGAAGGCCUUUCUCAAGGUAAAGCAAUCUUUGGCAGGAAAGAAACGGCACGAUGGAUAUCACCUCGUGCAACUGACGGUACCUGCAGAAUAAGCACCGGCUAACUACGUGCCAGCAGCCGCGGUAAUACGUAGGGUGCAAGCGUUAAUCGGAAUUACUGGGCGUGUGAAGCGUGUGCAGGCGGUUCGGAAAGAAAGAUGUGAAAUCCCAGAGCUUAACUUUGGAACUGCAUUUUUAACUACCGAGCUAGAGUGUGUCAGAGGGAGGGUGGGACGGCGUAGCAGUGAACAGUAGAUAUGCGGAGGAACACCGAUGGCGAAGGCAGCCUCCCGGGGAUAACACUGACGCUCAUGCACGAAAGCGGAGCAAACAAGACUAGAUACCCUGGUAGUCCACGCCCUAAACGAUGCUUCAACUAGGUCGUUGGGGCCUUCGGGCCUUGGUAGCACAGCUGGACCGGUAGCUGACCGCCUGGGGAGUACGGUCGCAAGAUUAAAACUCAAAGGAAUUGACGGGGACUCCGCACAAGCGGUGGAUGAUGUGGAUUAAUUGAUGCAACGCGAAAAACCUUACCUACCCUUGACAUGUCUGGAAUCCCGAAGAGAUUUGGGAGUGCUCGCAAGAGAACCGGAACACAGGUGCUGCAUGGUUGCUCGUCAAUGUGUCGUGAGAUGCUGGGUUAAGUCCGCAACGAGCGCAACCCUUGUCAUUAGUUGCUACGAAAGGGCACCUGAAGAUCGCUGGCACAAACCUGGAGAAGGUGGGGAUGACGUCAAGUCCUCAUGGCCCUCUUGCAUAGGGCUUCACACGUCAUACAAUGGUCGGGACAGAGGGUCGCCAACCUCGCGAGGGUGGAGCAAUCCCGAACGGAUCAGUCCGGAUCGGCAGGCUGUAACCUGACUGCGUGUUUAACCGCUAGUAAUCAUGAUCAGCAUGUCGCGGUGAAUACGUUCCCGGGUCUGUACACACCGCCCGUCACACCAUGGGAGUGGCUUUACCGGUAAGGAAGUUAGCCUGAACUGUAUGAGGGCGAUUACCACGGUAGGAUUCAUGACUGGGGUGAAGUCGUAACAAGGUAG